CCGGAGAUCACGUAGCGCAACGCUUUGCUAAGGUGGAGGGGAGUUACACGGAGGCCCUGUGCUUCCUUAACUCCACCACAGUAACAGCCACCGGGUCCAGGCUGGGCCUUCGCAUGGCCUGCGGCCUUGUGUGUCUGCGGACUACCAACUGACGCUUCUUCUGCAUUCUUAAGAGUCUAGGUACAUGCGCUCUGUUCUAUGCGUUUGUUGCUGUGCGAUGGCCUGGUCAUCAGGUUUCGACAACGGGAACACAGUACGACGCUUGCUACACAUCGUGGGGGGACCCCCGGGACAUAGUGAGGACAAACUCUUCCUUCACUUACUCUUUGAUUUGGUCACUUGCCACUAACGGUCCGAAGUAUGCCUUAGAAGGAUUCGCCUGCUCCUCUUACCCAGCUUUCGUUGUAGAACGAGGAUCCAACAGCUUCACGCAGAUUGACCUGGAAGAGACCACUCGAGUGCAAGCGGUGAUCAUAGCUACAGCAUUUGAUGGUUGGCUUGAGAACAUGGACGUGAUCCUCAGCAACACGAGUGACUUCAGCCUGGGGCAAAAAAUUGGAAGACUUGACGGAUUUCCACCGGAAUGGUCGACGGUCACCCUCGUCACCAACACCAGCGCGGAGGGACGGUACCUCACGACAUUUCAGACAUCAUCUGGUCACCAGGGCUACGCUGCCAUACAAGUCAUUCCGCUGCCAUAAACCUCUUCUUCACUUCUUCAUUUUUAUCUGUUCUUGAAUGCAGGUCUUUGAGUAACAGAGAAUAUUUCUUACUGAAAAUUUUCUUACUGAUUUUCUUCCAUCGGCAAAUUAGGCCUUUGAUAGGAAUUGAAAAUUCAAAUGUCAGGCUUCAAAUGGACAUUUUAUUAUAAUUUAAGACAUUUCAAAUGCAACUAAAUUCAUUGUCAAGUAUGGGAAGAGUUUGAAUAAUUUGAAUUUGAAAUUUAGAAAUGACGUAGGUACAAACAUAGGUUUAUGUAUAUCAAUUGAAAAUCAAAGCUAGAAUUACAAGAACAGUUUCAACGUCC
rnacentral:lncRNA from 1 species